CCUACGGGUGGCAGCAGUGAGGAAUAUUGGUCAAUGGGCUUACGCCUGAACCAGCCAAGUCGCGUGAGGGAAGACUGCCCUAUGGGUUGUAAAUCUCUUUUGUAAGGAAGCAACGCCGGCUAAGUGUAGCCGAUCUGCGACUACCUGAAAAAAACGCAUCGGCUAACUCAGUGCCAGCAGCCGCGCUUAUACCGAGGAUGCGAGAUUUAUCCGGAUUAAUUGCGUUUAAAGGGUGCGUAGGCGGAAUGCUAAGUAAGCGGUAAAAUCGCGGGGUUCAACCUCGCUCUGCCGUUGAAACUGGCGAUCUUGAGUGUGCGAGAAGGAUGUGGGAUGCGUGGUGUAGCGGUGAAAUGCAUAGAUAUCACGCAGAACUCCGAUGGCGAAGGCAG
rnacentral:rRNA from 1 species